UAGGGAAUCUUCCGCAAUGGACGCAAGUCUGACGGAGCAACGCCGCGUGAGUGAAGAAGGAUUUCGGUUCGUAAAACUCUGUUGUUAGAGAAGAACAGCGCAUAGAGUAACUGUUAUGCGUGUGACGGUAUCUAACCAGAAAGCCACGGCUAACUACGUGCCAGCAGCCGCGGUAAUACGUAGGUGGCAAGCGUUGUCCGGAUUUAUUGGGCGUAAAGCGAGCGCAGGCGGUCAAUUAAGUCUGAUGUGAAAGCCCCCGGCUCAACCGGGGAGGGUCAUUGGAAACUGGUUGACUUGAGUGCAGAAGAGGAGAGUGGAAUUCCAUGUGUAGCGGUGAAAUGCGUAGAUAUAUGGAGGAACACCAGUGGCGAAGGCGACUCUCUGGUCUGUAACUGACGCUGAGGCUCGAAAGCGUGGGUAGCAAACAGC
rnacentral:rRNA from 1 species